rnacentral:rRNA from 1 species
GCAGUAGCCGCGGUAAUACAGAGGGUGCGAGCGUUAAUCGGAUUUACUGGGCGUAAAGCGUGCGUAGGCGGCUAAUUGAGUCGGAUGUGAAAUCCCCGAGCUUAACUUGGGAAUUGCAUUCGAUACUGGUUAGCUAGAGUGUGGGAGAGGAUGGUAGAAUUCCAGGUGUAGCGGUGAAAUGCGUAGAGAUCUGGAGGAAUACCGAUGGCGAAGGCAGCCAUCUGGCCUAACACUGACGCUGAGGUACGAAAGCAUGGGGAGCAAACAGGAUUAGAUACCCGCGUAGUCCCUGUCUCUUAUAA